UGUUGUUUUGUAUUUAAAUAGACAACAUGAAUUCUUGUGUCUAUCCAUCUUCUCAAUUAGCCGUGCGGCGACAGAUAAACCAAAGGCUGUUUUAUUCAUCAGGCUGUUGGGAAGCUGAACUCUCUGCCCGCUCUGCCCGCCUGAACUCUGAACACCCACGCACACGCGCACAUCUCCCGACACUUCCUUCGAAUUUAGAAACGUCUUCAUGUCUCCUCAUCUUUGAGAUUUGAACAUUGAAAUGAUCCCUUCUGACCUGUUGGUUGAGAUAAAGACGCCAUUUGCUCAAAUCAAGUUGUUUUUUUCCCCUCAUUUCUAACCCUGGCCAGAUCUGUACCUCGCCACAAUUCUGUCUCUGAGCUCUUCAGGCAGUUCCUUGGACCUCAUGAUUCUCAUUUGCUCUGACAUGCACUGUGAGCUGUCAGCUCUUGUCUCGACAGGGGUGGGUGUGGCUUGGCCCAAUCAAGUCCAAUGAGUGUCAUCAAACACAGCUGGAGAAGCAUCUCAAGGAAGAUCAGAAGAAACGGACAGCGCCCGAGUUAGACACGGGAGUGUCGCGGCAAAGAGUCGGAAGACUUCUGGCUGGGCGAUAUUUCACUUGUUGGGGCCGCCCAAGUCAAGCCCAUGUCGGGGGAACACUGUGCCUUUUUGCAAAGAUGUACAAUUACAGGGCGUGCCUGCCGGAAAAAGGCUCCAUCGCGUCCACUUUGGAACAACCAAAAGGCCCUCACCCGAGCACCUGAACCAUGAUUGAAUGCUGAUCAUGGCAUACUCGAUAUGACGUCAUAGAGCGCCCGAAUGAAACACGGAACCGCUCUUCUAAACGUGAGAGUGCCAAGUGAACGAACCUGCUCCGCACGAGCCAAUUCCGCUUUGCAUCUCGCAGACUGCGUCCGCUGGUUGCCGCUGUCGCUCUUUCGGUCCCCGAGUGUCCUGCUGUUCUUCUCGCUCGCAAUUCCAACCGCGACGCUCGCUCGCUCGCUGCUUCGUUAGCGGCUAGCAGGCUAAGUGAAGCGAGGCCGAGAAGCUUCGACUUGCACCGAGACGACUUCAACCGCACACGAAGAUUCAACGACUUGUAUCUUACUAGUUUUGGACGUGGUGCGUCGAGGACUCCGAGCUAAUUGACGCAAACAUGUUUCGUGAAGUCUCGUGUGGCAAAAAAAAUACAAUCAGACGUGUGCGGAGGUAGCGCUUCAGCGGAGCCUCUACGGCAACUUGACUUGGACAAAACUUGUGUUAGUCACACGCGAUUCGACGUACAACCGUGGAAAAACACCAAACAAAAUGCAAUUUCGUUAGCGUUUAUGGAUUAUUACAAAUGUAUAUUUCUUUUCUAAACUCAUAUUACUUGUGCUCAGGCCCGCACUCUCUUGUAGUUGUCAAUGAAAUGUUUUCCCCUUUCGAUUGACGAAGUUUGUCCAAAUGGACACCCCUUACAUGGUCUGCUGCACAUUUAGCUCAGCACACGGCUUUUUUUU